AGCUGCUAAUGACAGAUGUUAAUCUGACUGUUGUUUUUGGUGAAUUUCUGAUGGUGGUGAAGACCUUCAUAGACACGGGCCAGGACUCAGAGGAGGAGAAGGAGCGUUAUCUCCAAUUGGCGUUUCACCUGGCUUCCGACUUCCUCCUCAAGCACCCAGACAAGGAUGUGCGGCUGCUGGUAGCCUGUGGCCUGGCCGACAUCUUCCGCAUCUACAGACCCGAUGCACGCUAUACCUCUCCCGAGAAGCUCAAGGAUAUAUUCAUGUUCAUCACUCAGCAGCUGACAGGACUUGAGGACACAAAAAGUGUGCAGUUCAACCAAUACUUUUAUCUGCUUGAGAACAUUGCCUGGGCGAAGUCCUACAACAUCUGCUUCGAGCUUGAGGACAGCAAUGAGAUCUUUACUCAGCUCUAUAAGACAUUGUUCCAAGUGAUUAACAACAGCCACGAGCAGAAAGUACAGAUACACAUGGUGGAGGUGAUGAGAUCCAUCAUCUGUGAUGGGGACACCGUGUCCCAGGAGCUGCUGGACACUGUGCUGGUUAACCUGGUGCCGGGCCGCAAGAAGCUCCACAAGCAGCCCUAUGAGCUGGCCAAAGCCCUGCUGAAGAGGACUGCCCAGGCCAUCGAGCCCUGCAUCACCAAUUUCUUUACCCGGGUGCUGAUGCUGGGCGAGCCGUCCGUGAGCCACCUCUCAGAGCACGUCCUUGACCUCAUCCUGGAGCUCUACAGCAUCGACAGUCGCCUUAUCUUCCCCGUGCUCCCCCAGCUUGAGCUCAAGCUAAAGAGCUGUGACAGCGACCAGCGCCUUCAGGUCGUCAAGCUUCUGACCAAAAUGUUCGGAGCAAAAGAAUCCGAACUGGCAACACAGAACAAGUCCCUUUGGCAAUUCUUUCUUGGAAGGUUCAAUGACAUCCAUGUUCCUGUUCGACUGGAGUGUGUGGAAUUUGCCAGCCUCUGCCUCAUCAACCAUCCAGACCUUGCCAAAGAUCUCACAGACCACCUAAGGGGUCGGUCACAUGACCCCGAAGAGGCCAUCCGGCACAACGUCAUUGUGUCGAUUGUGACCGCUGCCAAGAAGGACCUGGCCCUCGUCAAUGACCACCUGCUGAGUUUUGUGCGUGAAAGGACCCUGGACAAGAAGUGGAGGGUGCGUAAGGAGGCAAUGAUGGGCCUUGCGCAGAUCUACAGGAAGUACGCACUGCAAGGGGAAGCGGGGAGAGAAGCUGUCGAGCGGAUCUCCUGGAUCAAGAAUAAGCUGCUGCACAUCUACUACCAGAAGAGCAUGGAGGACAGGGUGCUUGUCGAGCAGAUCUUUGCCCAGUACAUGGUGCCACACAGUCUGGAAAUAACCGAGAAGAUGAAGUGCCUCUACUACCUGUAUGCAGCGCUGGAUGUCAAUGCCGUCAAGGCUCUAAACGAGAUGUGGAAAUGUCAGAGUGUCCUGCGGCGUCACGUUAAAGACCUGCUGGACCUGCUCGAUAAGCCCAAAUCAGAAACAUGUAGCAAAGCUGUUUUUUUCAAAGUCAUGGUCAUCACGAGGAACCUGCCGGCCCUGGGCAGGACCAAGGACUUUGUGAAGAAGUUGGCCCAGCUCCUAGAGGAGGACGUCAAGAUCCGGAAACAGCUGGAGACGGUGGUCAGCCCAUGCUGCUCCCGCCAGCAGGCCGAGGGCUGUGUGAGAGACAUCUCCAAGGCCCUGGAACAUCCUGCACAGUACAGCAGCCCUUUUGCGGAGAUGGUGACAUUCCUGUUGGGCAGAAUCGCACCGGUUCACAUCGAUGCAGAGUCCAUCAGCGCCCUGAUCAAGCAGGUGAACCGCUCUAUACACGGAACAGCAGAUGAUGAAGAUGAGGGUGUGUCCACAGAACAAGCCGUCAGGGGCGGUUUGCAGCUACUGAAGGUUCUGUCCUUCACGCACUCCAUGUCCUUCCACUCGGCUGAGACCUUCGAGUCGCUGCUGGACUGCAUGAAGAUGGGUGACGAGAUGGUGGCUGAGGCGGCCCUGCAGAUUUUCAGGAACACGGGUGGAGGGAUAGAGGAGAGCUUCCCACACCUCAAACAGGCCCUCCUGCCAUUACUGCAGCAGAAAGCAAUGAAGGGGCUGCCUCGACAGGCCAAGCUCGCAGUUCACUGCAUCCACACCAUCUUCUCCAACAGAGAUGCACAGUUUGCGCAGAUAUUUGAGCCUCUGCACCAGGCCCUGGAUGCUGGCAGCCCCGAGCAGCUCAUCACGCCCCUCAUCACCCUCGGCCACCUGGCCAUGCUGGACCCCGGGCAGUUCAGCAGCUCACUGAGGUCCCUGGUGGCAAACUUUGUCAUCAAGGAGCUGCUCAUGAACGACCGGAUUCCUGGGAAGAAGGCAGCCAAGCUGCGGCCGGCCCACGAUGAACUUUCUCCCUUAACCCUGGCGAAGAUUCAGGGCAUCAAACUGAUGGUGAGGUGGCUGCUGGGAAUGAAAAAUGAUCAGAGUGAGUGGGCCAACUCCAUCCUGAAGGUGCUGAUGGCCGUCAUGAAGGGCGGCGGGGACCUGACCGGUGUGGGCAGGCUGAGGAAGCUGGACAUGUCGAGGCUGCGUCUGGCCGCGGGCUGCGGCGUGCUGAAGCUGGCACAGGAGCCCUGCUACCAGGAGAUCGUCACACGGGAGCAAUACCGGCUCUGCGCGCUCCUCAUCAAUGACGAAUGUGUCCAGGUACGCCAGGCCUUCACCCAGAAGCUGCACAGCGCCCUCCGGAGGCUGCGGCUCCCCCUACAGUACAUGGCCAUAUUUGCCCUGUGCGCCAAGGACCCUGUGAGGGAACACCAGGCUCAUGCCCGCCAGUGCUUCCUCAGGAACGUCCACGUCCGCAGGCAGUACCUGAGGCAGCACGCCCCCCUCAGCGGGAAGCUGCACUCCCUCCUGCCAGAGUACGUGGUACCGUACACCAUUUACCUGCUUGCUCACGACCCAGACUACGUCACAGCACAGGACACUAAGCAGCUGAAAGGAAUCAGGGAGUGCUUGCGGUUUGUUUUUGAGAUCCUAAUGGUGAAAAAGGAGAACAACAGUCUCACGUUCAUCCGGAAGUUGGUGGAGAACAUUAAAUGGGCGAAAUGGGGCCAGACACCAGAUGACCCCAAGACAAAUGAGAAACUGCACACCGUGUGUAACGUAGCCAUGAGCAUCAUCUCGAGGAGCAACACCUACAGCCAGGAAGUGGCCAAAGGUCCCGCCCUGCCUGCCAGAAACUUCCGCCAUGCUGACACGAAUAUCAGCAGUACGAAGAGUCACCCUCCUCCGGAAAUGAAGUCCUUUAUCAAUCUGGGAAAGACUCCCUCUCUUUCACCAUGGCCCAGUUGUCCAUCCUCCCCACCCCCACAGCCUAGAACCGCAAGCAUCCUUGGGGCAGUAAACAAGACCGUACCCGCCACAGCCAAGCAGCCGCACACCAAGCCGCCCUGGACAGAGACGGUGUGCAGUGACAGCUCCCUGGGCUGGCACCAAACCUGGGUGAAGCACUGUGAGUACAAUGAAGUCUCCUCUGUGAAGACCUCUCUGGUGCCAGGAACGCAGAGCAACUGGAGAGCUAGAGAUGACUCCGUCCUGCUCAGGGGUGGGGAGAAGCUGCAGUGUCUCAAGCGAAGAGCAGCUACUGGGGAGGGGGACAAGAAUGUGGGCUGGACUUUGAGGCCUAAGUGUGUCCAUAGGAGGGCUGUCAGCGCUGGAGUGACAGACUCCAGAUUCCAGGCAGGAGAAGUCCAGGCAACAUCAGCCGCUCUGGAGCCGGGGGAAGAGCAGAACAGCCCUGCCAAGAGGGGCCGGAGAGGCCACACCCCCGGGGCCGCCUCUCUCAGGUGUGGGGCACUUACUGAGAUGGGUCAUAAAAAGCCCAGCCCUCUCACAGAGGUGGAAGAGGAUGACGAUGAUGAGGAGCUACCUCCAGCUCAGACCAGUAAUUGGCUCCAUUUCACCGCUGGCUACGCUGAUGAGCUCGUUGGUGCGUGUACAGCAGUCACCUCCCAGUGUUCCCUGCACGGGGUCCUCGUGCACCACCUGCAUGCCAAGUAUUCUCCUCCCUGCAGUAUCUACCUCACUGAAAUAAUGUGCAUAUUCAUGUUAAGUUCCUCCUUAUUUAAAAGCUUCUUUGUCAUCUUCUGCCUCUUCUGGUGGCAUGCUGACACUGUUUAGACUGGUGAACAUAUUUCUAGGAAGUAAUUAGUCCUUCUUGCAAGCAGAGCGGCUAUAAAUCAUUGUGUAGCAAUGGAAAAAAUCACAGCUUCUAAAGCUAUUACUGAAUAUUGUGAAGACCUGUAAAUGUCCUGUUCCGGGUUCGAGAGCGCGGACCCCCCAGCUAGCUCGACCAACACUUGAUCAAUGCAUGGAGCUACAGUGAAGGGCAGUACGUCUGCCUCCAGCACAGAGGCAUUCGAGGUCACAGAUGAUUUAAUGCAAGGGGAGCGCCCCGAGUCAGCCCAGCAGCCAGCCAAGUAAAAUGUGCAAGUGUCACCUAAGCUUGUUUUUGUGCCUGUUGUAAUGUGUGUACAUCUAUUUUCUGUGAGUUUGUAAAGCCUGAUCUAGACCAUUCUGUACCAGCAUGUAGCUCUCAAUCUGCUUUUGACUGUAGGUCAUUCAAACUUUGACUCUGGGUAAGACUGACUAUCCUAUCUAGCUCUCCCUUUGACUCUUGGUUUAACUCUGACUCUCCUUUUGACUCUGGGUCAGACUCUGACUAUCUUAUUCCAAAUCUGAUGCUCCUUUUGACUCAGUCUUUGCUUUUACCUCUAAAUCUGACUCUCACUGUCAGAUGCAGUGGUCGCUUCAAGACAGCAGGGGGUGAAGAAAUCAAUUUUGGGUAUGCGAGAAGCAUGGAUGAUGACAAUGAGGAAGCGGGGUGUAGCAUACCCAAAAUCCAAGAAACACCAGGCAGGAGGGACCGAAGCUGAACAUGAGCAU